GUACCGGCCAGGAGAGGAAUCACCACCGAGAGCCGUCUGAAGGAGUGGGCAGCUAGACAGGCUUUACUGUUGGAGAACGUUCAGAACGAUGACAAAACACACAGAAAAUCACGCCUGCCUCUUCCCAUUUUAAGUUUUUACCUUCCGCACAGCUGCUCUGGGGCACAAGGGGACAAGAACGGAGCUACUGGUUUGGCUGACCUUUAGAAGACCUUCAGGAAAACAAUAGUGAGUUCACAGAAGACACCGGCCAGCCAGUCUUUGCACAGCCUUUCCUUGACAGGGGUUCGGCGAACUACCCCCCACUCCUGAGUUCUAGCUCUGAAGGAAGCCAAGGGGAUGGAUGUCUCUAGAGACAAAAAUCGGACUCUGCACCCCAGGUUGAAGCCCAGAUUCCCUCUUACAUUGCCCAGGAAUCACACUCACCAAGCAACAGGGGCAGUCCUCACAAGCUACACUCCUACAACAACAUCCUUCUUUUUCCAAGCGGCAUCAAAAACUCCAUGCCUGGGAUUCUUCACACUAUCACCUGACCCUGGGCUGACAAGCCCCACCCUCUCUAAACCAAGGCCAUGGACGAUUGCAAACCUCGACACGAAUAUAAAAGCAGGGCCAGUGGAGCUCACACACCGACGUCCAGAGUAGGCACCAGCAAAGCCACUUCGGCAAGUCCUACCCACGUUCAAGUCCAGGCCCAACCAUUUCCAAAACAGAUGCCCAUGUAUGUUCAA